rnacentral:rRNA from 1 species
UACGGGGGGGGAAAGCGUUGUUCGGAAUUACUGGGCGUAAAGGGCUCGUAGGCGGCCAACUAAGUCAGACGUGAAAUCCCUCGGCUUAACCGGGGAACUGCGUCUGAUACUGGAUGGCUUGAGGUUGGGAGAGGGAUGCGGAAUUCCAGGUGUAGCGGUGAAAUGCGUAGAUAUCUGGAGGACCACCGCUGGCGAAGGCGGCAUCCUGGACCACUUCUGACGCUGAGGAGCGAUAGCCAGGGGAGCAAACGGG